GGGUAUGCCUCCUCUUGCUUCUCAUGCUCGUUAUAAAAACUUUCUGCUCCGAUUCUGACAGUAAAUACAUAUCUCAUUAGCUUUGGGAUACCUUCAAUUAAAGGGUAUUGUGUCUCAACAUUCUUGUCCUAAUACUCCUCAGCAAAAUGACAUUAUGUGUUAUGUAUGAUACUUUUAAUUAACGUUUUUUUACUUCUAGGAAUGUGAGAUUCUUUUAUAGUCAUUUUAUGUUUCCUUGUUUUUCCCCUACUUCAAUUUUUUCUGUUUUUCCCAUUUUUUUCUACAUCAUCCCCAUUAUUGAACGUUUCUAACUUGGCAUCACAUAUAUAGGACAACAUCGUCAACAAGUUUCCAUUUUCCCUUUUGACUUUGAUUUGUCACAUGUGUCCAUACCAAUUGAACCAUGACAAUAUGGUCGAAUAUCUCGAGCUCCUGAUAAGCAUUCUCCAAAAAAGUAUAUUUCUUCUCAUACUUCUCUAACAAUUUCUCUUUCUGGCCCAUUUAUUCUUACUUGUUACUCAUAAACUAUUAUAUAUGUAUGUAUGUAUAUAUAUAUAUAUAUAUAUAUAUGUUGGGUAAAGGCAAUGAAUGAUGAACUUCAGGUUCUAGAACUUCACAUGGGAUAUUGUUUCUUGCCCUCC
rnacentral:lncRNA from 1 species